rnacentral:rRNA from 1 species
AUUGAACGCUGGCGGCAGGCCUAACACAUGCAAGUCGAACGGUAACAGGAAGCAGCUUGCUGCUUUGCUGACGAGUGGCGGACGGGUGAGUAAUGUCUGGGAAACUGCCCGAUGGAGGGGGAUAACUACUGGAAACGGUAGCUAAUACCGCAUAACUUCGCAAGACCAAAGAGGGGGACCUUAGGGCCUCUUGCCAUCGGAUGUUCCCCGGUGGGAUUAGCUAGGAGGUGGGGUUACGGCUCACCUAGGCGACGAUUCCUAGAUGGUCUGAGAGGAUGACCAGCCACAUUAGAAGUGGGCCACGGUCCAGGCGCCUGAGGGAGGGAGCAGUGGGGAAUAUUGCACAACGGGCGGAAGCCUGAUGCAGCCAUGCCGCGUGUAUGAAGAAGGCCUUCGGGUUGUAAAGUACUUUCAGCGGGGAGGAAGGGAGUAAAGUUAAUACCUUGGCUCAUUGACGUUACCCGCAGAAGAAGCACCGGCUAACUCCGUG